rnacentral:rRNA from 1 species
UACAGAGGGUGCAAGCGUUUGUUCGGAAUUAUUGGGCGUAAAGGGCGCGUAGGCGGUGCGGUAAGUCUGUAGUGAAAUCUCUGGGCUCAACUCAGAGUCUGCUAUAGAAACUGCCGUGCUUUGAGUGUGGGAGAGGUGAGUGGAAUUCCCGGUGUAGCGGUGAAAAUGCGUAGAUAUCGGGGAGGAACACCUGUGGCGAAAAGCGGCUCACUGGACCACAACUGACGCUGAGGCGCGAAAAGCUAGGGGGAGCAAACAGG